GUAUGAGCAUGUUCAGAUGUGUCUUUGAGAUGUUGGAGGAACACAAAGGAGAGAAUCGCUUUAGUCACAUCAUGAUCAACAUGUCGCGUUAGUAUACUUUUAUCUUUGAAAGUAUAAUGUGUUAUCUAACUACAAGGUAAUUUUCGUCUCUAUUAGCAUUAUGAUAAAAAACUAGCAGAAAAUGUUGUGAGUCUAAUGUUAUCAUUAGAGUCAAAUAUUAUCAUUAAAUAUAUACAGAUAGGACUGUACUUGUGUUGGACUCUAGGCUUAAGCUAUGUAUAUAUAUGCUAGCAUUAGGACCUCAUAUUAUAAUAAGUAUUAUUUCAAGACGACCAUCCGAUUAGUGUGGCUACGUCGAACGCCCGCGCCAUGAUUGCAACAUUCUAGUGGCCAAUGUUGUUGACUUCAGGCAAAUCACGGUGGAGAUGCUCUCUCGACUAGAGCUCGGGACGACAGGGCUCAAGACCCUCACGCGCGAGGUGAUGGACGUGCUCAUCGACAAGCCCAAGCAUGUGACACUCGGCAGGUGGAAAAGACGUUCUUUUGGCCCCCACAGGUCUAGUACGUCGUUGUUGAUGUCUAUGAGUUCUACAAGGUUGGUUGUCUGUUGUUCAUGACAGAGCGCACGCACAGCUGAUGGAAGGACGCCGCCGUCUAUUUGCAUGGAGAUGCUGUCAGAGCAUCUCCAAUAGAAGUUCUAAACAGAGUUGUAUUUUGAAAUAUAGUACUUUAACAAAAAUAUUUCUU